rnacentral:lncRNA from 1 species
UGUUGGGCUGCUGAGGGGCGAUGAGGCCAGCCUGGGAGUGGUGGUGGAGAGCCCCCCUGAGCAGGACAGCAGCACAGAGGGCAGGAAGCCAAGCCAAGAGGCUGGGAGGGACGAUCCCUGCUGAUGGCGUCGAGCACCCAGGCUGUCAGCUGGAUGAGAAUGGAGAGCUCUACCUGCUUCUCCUGCUGUGCUGUGCCCGGUGUCCAGAGCCAGCCGGCAGCAGCAGGGCAUCAGUGACGUGCGCUGGACCAGUGAACACUGCAGACCACACAGGAGCAUACUUCCAGGAGUGCUAAGCGCCGUUGGCUCCUUCACUGUCCAUGGAGCCCAGCUCUGUGCCCGGCCCUGACUUGCACUGUAGGCAUCAUGGCCGUGAAGGAGACAAACUCUGCCGCCCCCUGGAGCCGACGUCACAGAGGGGCAAACAGUGAGCAGAGCACAGCAGCCCACUGUGCAUGUGCAGCCAGAAGCGUCUUCUCCAAUGGAGGCCGAGGACGUCACUCCCUGGUCCUGAUCCCCUGCUCCUUAGAACCUGAGCCAGGGCCCUUGCAGUGGAACUGAGCUUGGACUAAUGAGGCAGCUCAGAGGUAGCCGCUGGCCAGCCAGCCAGGGCCCAACCUCACAGAAGAGGAGAAAGCCUCAUCAGCAGAGCAUUCCACUGUCAGAGCUGACUGCUUUCCAGGCCUGAGCUGGAGGAUAUCUAAGCUGGGCCGUGCUCUUCCAGUGGGAUCAAUGCCUGAUUCACCUCAGGGAGCCCGAUGGGGUCUGGCCAGGUGCCCAGCAUGUGGGCUUCGCAGAGGGCCCUGCUCUCUGUGGGUGAAGGAAAAUCUUCUCUGCCCGCUCAGAUGCUGGGACCGUCCCAGGGCCGUCUCAUGAGCAGGUGGAAAGACUCUGCAUGCAGUGUCACCGGCCUUGCGAGCAGCAGCCAGCGGCCUCCUGGACAUCCUCAGGCUUCUGAGGAGCCCCUGCGGAAGCUCCCUGACACACGACCCUCCCUCUGGACCCCAAGAUGUCUGGCUUCCUGUGGAGCUCCCUUAGACAUGGAGCUGGGUGAGCAGCCCAGACCUCGGUCAGCACUCCCAGGGGGAUCGCUCUGCACCACUGUCAUAAAAAGGAGACAUCGUCCCAGUGGACAGGCCCAGCUCCUGCGUUACAGUCAGAAAACUCAGCCUGACGUGGAAGUGACCCGAGGCUGCUUUGAGGGCCCAAACCCGUGCCGCAGUCCAGGCUCUGAGGUUUCACCUCAGUGGGGCUGAAAUGCAGACCUGCAGUGAGGGUGGCCCCUCCUCAUGACCCCAGGUGCCUCCAGGCCGUCCUCCUAGUUCACCAAGUGUUUUGGACACGAUGCUUCUUAGGUCACGGAGGUGCCAGGUCCCUUCUGAGUUGAAUCUCUGCAGAUAGUGCCACUGUGGUUGGCAUAGCUCCGCUGGCCGCUGGACCAAGGCCUCUCACCUGCAUAUCCCUGCAUGUCCACGUGUCCUUCUUGCACGGCCCCCACGCACAGCGGAAGGCGUCCACCUUGGGCCGAACUCCGACGCCGCUGGCCAGCUCUGGAUUCUAUGUCUCACCUCCACAUAAAUGCAGGGGGGCGGCUCGACCUCCCGCUCUGGGAUGGGACUGGCUGGGACCUCACAUGGGCCAUACCCUGUUCGGCUUGCCAGGCCGGGUCCUGCUCGGCAGGCAGCAGCACAGGCCUCGUAGCACUGUGAGCAGCUUCCCAGUGGCGCCCCCACCUCUGGCCCUGGCUGCAGCCUGAAGGGGAGGCUGGGGUCGCCCCACCAGGCUAUCCAGCCUGCCGAGAGUCUCUGUGGCAGUUUCCCUCCCGGGCCCCACGGCUGGUGCUGGUGCUGUGGGUGGAGGGGACGGCCCCGGGGACCCGCGGAGAGGUCGGGCUGGGGGUGGUGGCGCCCGACUCCAGGCGAGCAGGCUCUGUGACCUUCAGCACUGACUCCUGCUUCUCCUCGGGCCACUGACAGCCAGCCUCGCAAAGCCAGGUGGGCAGAACCGGCUCACUGCCACCACGUCAGCCGAGAUGGGCAGAGGCCCUCAGCUGUGCUGUGCAGGCUGGCAAAGAGCUGCAGCUGCUGGCCUCGGCGGACGGGAGGGACCUCCCGGUGCUGGUGUGCCCAUCCCCCUGGGCCUUCUGAGACUUCAGGAUGAAGAACAUGCCCACACUAUUGUCAUACCUUCAUCUGCGAGACUCCUGGAUUUGAUUCCACUGAAAACCCAUCUUCAUCAUUGCUUCUGUCACCCAGGAGUCCCUUGUGUCACAAGGCAGCUCCUAUACGGGCUCAGUUUCGGCCAGCUCUGAUUGACCCAUGGGUCUCCCAUGACCUCUUCUAAGGUCUUCCUCUUCCUGGGGUCAAGGGUCAGCAGGACUCUCAUAAUUGGAUGCAUUCCAACAAAAGGAGCAUGGGGAGCGAGUAGGCCCCUCUGAGCAUGCUCUGCCGCACGUCACUGAAGUCCUCUCCCCAGAACGGCGGGGACCCAGUGAGCAUGACAUGGAGCAGCACGCCAAGGCUCCAGCCGUCAGCUGGGGGGCCGUCUUAGGGCUGCAGUCGCAGGACCUCCGGGGCCGUGUAGCCGGGGGUGCCCCAGUAGGUGCUCAGUGGCCGGCCGGGGACCACGCUGCUGAGGCCGAAGUCGGCCAGCUUCGCGUUCCCCUCCGGGUCCAGGAGCACGUUCUCCAGCUUCAGGUCCCGGUGCACGAUGCCCUUGCGGUGGCAGUACUGGAGAGCCGAGACGAGCUGCCGGGACCGGCCGCGGGCCUCCUCCGUCAGGGGGCCAUGCUGCAACCGAGGGUCGAGGGUGUCCCCUCUGCUGAUGUAUUCUGUGAUGAUGAACAGCGUCUCCUCCGUGUCGAUCACCUCUAGCAGCUUUACAAUGUGGGGUGGUGCAAUAUCUUCAAACUCUGCAUUUCACCGAGGAGUCUCUUGGCUCUGGAGGAGCUCUGCUCCUGCUUCGGGGUGAUUUUCACGGCAACCUCUGUCCCGGCCGGGAUGUGCAGGGCCAGCUUCACCUGUGAAGGAGCCCUCCCCAAUGGUCCUGAGGAGCUCGUAAUCGUGAAGACAGGUCUGCCUGCCAGAGAGGUGGCAGCGAGGCCUGGAAGCAUGGUGACCUCAUAACUACACUUACUGACAAUACCAACCAGUGAUGCUAACUAUGCUUACUAACUACGCCAACAAACAAAAUGUUAGUCUGCUAACUAAUACUGACUAACAAUAGUAACAAGGCCACCGAUGCUUGCUAACUUACUAACUAUGCUAAUAAGUAACACUAACUAUACCAAAGAUGCUAACUCUACUAACUACACCAACAAUACUAACUAUACUAACUGUAAUAACAAUACUAACUAAAAAAUUGUUUUAAAAUGUGAAAAAGAACAAAAAAGGCAAGGAAAAAUAAAAAAUGAGAAAAGAACAGGUUUUCGUAAAUUCCAUCACAGUGGCUCCUUAUGAAGUCAGAGCAGGAAAUGCACCAGGCAUGGCUGGGGAUAAACUAUAGUGGUUGGCUCCCUUUUUGGUCUCAAGAACACGUUACUGUGAAAAAAAAAAAACAGGACAGCAAAGAGCUUUUUAUGUAUGUAGGAUAUUAGACAGUGAUAUUUACUUUAUUAGAAAUUAAAACCUGUAAGAUGCUUCAGUGGCCUUUUCAUUUCAUUUCUAAUUUUAAAAUCUCUAAUAAUUUUUGGCUGUUAAAGACCUCAAAACACCCACACUUAAAAUAUUCAACUCCUUUUCCUUAAACUCUGAUUACUCUCAAAAUGAUCCUACCACUGAAGGGCUGUCAUAAUCCUAUAGGAAAACUUUCUGUUGCAUGAGACCUGAGAAGGGACAUCAUUAACGCUGACAAAGCUGAGAGGAAGAGAGCUUUCCUCCUAUUUUCCCCAGUAAGAUCAGGAGCUGAUUUCUCACCAGAAACCUUGGAGGCCAGAGGGCAUGGGCUGACGUACCCAAAGUGCAGAAGUAAAAAAGAAUCCAACCAAG